rnacentral:rRNA from 1 species
AGUGGCGAACGGGUGAGUAACACAUUGGAACCUACCUCGGACUCGGGGAUAGCCCGCUUAACGGCGGAUUAAUACCGGAUGGUCCCGCAAGGGUAAAGCUUUUGCGGUCCGAGAGGGGCCUGUGGCCUAUCAGCUUGUUGGUGAGGUAAAGGCUUACCAAGGCUAUGACGGGUAGCUGGUCUGAGAGGAUGACCAGUCACAAUGGGACUGAGACACGGCCCAUACUCCUACGGGAGGCAGCAGUAAAGAAUCUUCCACAAUGGACGAAAGUCUGAUGGAGCAAUACCGCGUGAACGAUGAAGGUCGAAAGAUUGUAAAGUUCUUUUCUGGGGGAAGAAUUAUGACGGUACCCUAGGAAUAAGCACCGGCUAACUCCGUGCCAGCAGCCGCGGUAAUACGGAGGGUGCAAGCGUUACCCGGAAUCAUUGGGCGUAAAGCGUCCGCAGGCGG